GACGAACGCUGGCGGCGUGCCUAAUACAUGCAAGUCGAACGCACUCUCGUUUAGAUUGAAGGAGCUUGCUCCUGAUUGAUAAACAUUUGAGUGAGUGGCGGACGGGUGAGUAACACGUGGGUAACCUGCCCUAAAGUGGGGGAUAACAUUUGGAAACAGAUGCUAAUACCGCAUAAAACCUAACACCGCAUGGUGUAGGGUUGAAAGAUGGUUUCGGCUAUCACUUUAGGAUGGACCCGCGGUGCAUUAGUUAGUUGGUGAGGUAAAGGCUCACCAAGACCGUGAUGCAUAGCCGACCUGAGAGGGUAAUCGGCCACACUGGGACUGAGACACGGCCCAGACUCCUACGGGAGGCAGCAGUAGGGAAUCUUCCACAAUGGACGAAAGUCUGAUGGAGCAACG
rnacentral:rRNA from 1 species